AAUUAUCAAGGGUUAUGAUUUAAAAAUCAAACUCCACAUCUGCUAGAAUAACUAACGAAUUGGGUAUUGCCAUUAUUCUACCCAUUAUAUCCCCAUACAGCUCAAGCCAAUGGCUGACAACAUAGAACCAUGUUCUACACGGAUGAGAAGACCUCCACUUUCCACCACCGCCUCCCCCUCAUUACUUCCGGUCCACCCGCUCACCCUCAUUUCUUCUUGCUUUCCUCUUUUUCUUGAUUGGUUUCUAUUUGUGCUUAUCUGGCAGCCAAAUAGAGAACCUUUCCGAAAAUCUUUUCACCGAUCUAUGUUGCAAAGUCCGGGAUUUUAGAUCGUGGGGGCUUAUUUGUUCAGAUUAGUAGGGAUAAUGAUAUAUGUGGGUUGGUCUUAGCAGAUAUGAUCUGAAGUAGGGUGUUUGGCUUUGAGGGAUUCGGAUUAUCUUGAGGUUUGCUGGGGUUGGAGUUAUGGAUAUAGGCUCCGUUUCAGAUUUACUUCUGUGCGGUCUUUGUUGUUCAUUUCUCCCUUUUGUUCAUUAGGGAGUUCUGAUUUUCCCUUUUGAUCUUAUUAGCAUUGUAAUGGUCGUGAAUUUUAAACUCCUUCUUAAUUAAAUAUGUGAUUUAAUUUUAA
rnacentral:lncRNA from 1 species